rnacentral:rRNA from 1 species
GAUGAACGCUGGCGGUAUGCUUAACACAUGCAAGUCGAACGGACUCUUCGGAGUUUGUGGCGGACGGGUGAGUAACGCGUGAGAAUCUUGCUUUGUGUUCGGGACACCCACUGGACACGGUGGCUAAUACCGGAUGUGCCGAGAUGUAAAAGAGAAAUUGCCUGAAGAUGAGCUCGCGUCUGAUUAGCUAGUUGGUGAGGUAAAGGCUCACCAAGGCAGCGAUCAGUAGCUGGUCUGAGAGGAUGACCAGCCACACUGGGACUGAGACACGGCCCAGACUAAUACGGGAGGCAGGAGUGGGGAAUGAUCCGCAAAGGGCGAAAGACUGACGGAGCAAUACCGAGUGAGGGAAGAAGGCUCUUGGGAUGUAAAACUCUGUUCGUAGGGAAGAACAAAAUGACGGUACCUAAGGAAUCAGCAGCGGCUAACUACGUG